rnacentral:rRNA from 1 species
GAUGAACGCUGGCGGCGUGCCUAAUACAUGCCAGUCGAGCGAACAGAUGAGGAGCUUGCUCCUCUGACGUUAGCGGCGGACGGGUGAGUAACACGUGGAUAACCUACCUAUAAGACUGGGAUAACUUCGGGAAACCGGAGCUAAUACCGGAUAAUAUAUUGAACCGCAUGGUUCAAUAGUGAAAGACGGUUUUGCUGUCACUUAUAGAUGGAUCCGCGCCGCAUUAGCUAGUUGGUAAGGUAACGGCUUACCAAGGCAACGAUGCGUAGCCGACCUGAGAGGGUGAUCGGCCACACUGGAACUGAGACACGGUCCAGACUCCUACGGGAGGCAGCAGUAGGGAAUCUUCCGCAAUGGGCGAAAGCCUGACGGAGCAACGCCGCGUGAGUGAUGAAGGUCUUCGGAUCGUAAAACUCUGUUAUUAGGGAAGAACAAAUGUGUAAGUAACUAUGCACGUCUUGACGGUACCUAAUCAGAAAGCCACGGCUAACUACAUG